UGGGGAAUUGUUCGCAAUGGGCGCAAGCCUGACGACGCAACGCCGCGUGGAGGAUGAAGAUUUUCGGAUCGUAAACUCCUGUCGAAUGGGACGAAUGGCCCGGCCGUGAAUAACGGCCGGGAAUGACGGUACCGUGAGAGGAAGCCCCGGCUAACUCCGUGCCAGCAGCCGCGGUAAUACGGGGGGGGCGAGCGUUGUUCGGAAUUACUGGGCGUAAAGGGCUCGUAGGCGGCCUACUAAGUCAGACGUGAAAUCCCUCGGCUCAACCGGGGAACUGCGUCUGAUACUGGAAGGCUUGAAUCCGGGAGAGGGACGUGGAAUUCCAGGUGUAGCGGUGAAAUGCGUAGAUAUCUGGAGGAACACCGGUGGCGAAGGCGGCGUCCUGGACCGGUAUUGACGCUGAGGAGCGAAAGCCAGGGGAGCAAACGGG
rnacentral:rRNA from 1 species